rnacentral:lncRNA from 1 species
UCUUUAUCAAGUGGAAUAUGAGUUAUAAGUACCAUAUUUUUUAUAUUUUUUAUAAGGCGCACUUAAAAUCCUUUAAUUUUCCUAAAAAUCGUCAGUGUGCCUUUAAAUCCAGUGCACCUUAUGUAUGAAUUUUGCCAGUCAGGUUGUAAGGAGCAGUAAAGCCACUCCACUGAAGCACAGCAUCAUACAAGAGUUCUAGUUUAGUUCUCAAGCAGCUGGAGUAGCAUUAGCAUUAGCGGCUAACUGCACUAAUCACUAGCUCUUUCUUUGUUCAGAGGGAGGCUCGCUGAGGAGACUUGGUGGAGCCCACAACUCAGGGGUCAAGUCCAGGCUUUCCCAACAUCUCUACCCCCACUAUCGUCCAUCCCUGCUCUCUCCUCCUCUCUGGAGAAAUGGACGGAGUGCAGGAGAGGGACGUGAGAAGUAUGUGAGGACAGAGAGAGAGAGAAAGAGAGAAAAACAAGAGAAUGGCAGCAGAUCAGAAACACGUAGGAACAUCUCUCGAAGUGUCAAGGCUCCGCCGCUCCUGAUUGGCCCAGGCCAGAGCCGCCGCUGCCCUCCAUUGGCUGGGCCGAGGACGAAUGCGCCUGCUGACAGUCAAUGGGGGCACACGGGGGUGAGUUGUGUGAGGUAUGGGCCGCCACAUUCUUCAGCGCUGAUCAAGUCUUAUGAACUUUCACUGAUGAGUGUGUGAGAGAGACAGUAUGUGUACGUGUGUGUGUGUGUGUGUGUGUGUGUGUGUGUGUGUGUGUGGUGCGUAAUGUGCAGUAGAAUGAUGGCCUGUAGGGACCCAGUCUAUAAUUCAGGCUAGUCUAAAGGUGAGCUCGGACCAUCAGUAACUUACAGCACACACUCACACAUUACACUCACACUCAUUUGUCUUAUUUAUAUGUAUGUGUAGCUUCAUAGAUAUGUCUUAUAUACAGUUAUAAACUGUGCAAUUAUUUAAUGCCAUUGUUUUUAAUCUGAGAAAACUCUAUGCAUAUAUGUUUUAAUAUGGAAUAUUGUGAGAUGUAUUGACUUAAC